CGCAACCCUUAUUGUUAGUUGCCAUCAUUUAGUUGGGCACUCUAGCGAGACUGCCGGUGACAAACCGGAGGAAGGUGGGGAUGACGUCAAAUCAUCAUGCCCCUUAUGACCUGGGCUACACACGUGCUACAAUGGGAAGUACAACGAGUUGCGAAGUCGCGAGGCUAAGCUAAUCUCUUAAAGCUUCUCUCAGUUCGGAUUGUAGGCUGCAACUCGCCUACAUGAAGCCGGAAUCGCUAGUAAUCGCGGAUCAGCACGCCGCGGUGAAUACGUUCCCGGGCCUUGUACACACCGCCCGUCACACCACGAGAGUUUGUAACACCCGAAGUCGGUGAGGUAACCUUUUUGGAGCCAGCCGCCUAAGGUGGGAUAGAUGAUUGGGGUGAAGUCGUAACAAGGUAGCCGUAUCGGAAGGUGCGGCUGGAUCACCUCCUUUCUAAGGAA
rnacentral:rRNA from 1 species